AGAGGUUGAGGACGGUGCCCGGGCCUGGAAUGGCAGUGCCGAGGGUCCAGGCAAGGUGGAGCGUGAGGACAGGGGCCCUGGGACAUCGGGGAUCCCAGUGAGGAGCCAGGGGGCAGAGGGCCUGCUGGCCAGGAUCCACCAUGGAGACCGAGGAGGGAGCCGCACCGCGCUGCCCAUUCCCUGCCAGACCUUCCCAGCCUGCCACCGCAAUGGAGACUUCACGGGAGGCUACCGCCUGGGGCGCUCGGCCUCCACCUCCGGAGUCCGGCAGGUCGUGCUCCACACACCCCGGCCCUGCAGCCAGCCCAGGGAUGCCCUGAGCCAGCCCCACCCCGCGCUGCCGCUGCCUCUGCCCCUGCCGCCCCAGCCGGCCCGCGAGCGUGACGGGAAGCUGCUGGAGGUGAUUGAGCGCAAGCGCUGCGUGUGCAAGGAGAUCAAGGCGCGCCACCGCCCGGACCGAGGCCUCUGCAAGCAGGAGAGCAUGCCCAUCCUCCCCAGCUGGCGGCGGGGGCCCGAGCCCCGCAAGUCCGGCACCCCGCCCUGCCGCCGGCAGCACACGGUCCUCUGGGACACCGCCAUCUGAGGCGGGCGGGGGGGUACCGGGGCGCCUGGACUGGGGAGGGGGCGGGCACGCCUGGCUCUCCCGGGAGCCUCGCCUUGAGAGACAUUGAAGGACUACGUGGGAGAGUGCCAGGGAGAACCCCUGCCCUCCAACCUACCCCCCGGGAUGGGGAGAGUCUGCCAGGCCCAUUGGGCUUAGGAUGCCAACAGCGCUGCUGAGAAACUUGGAGGAGGAGG
rnacentral:sRNA from 1 species